CCAAUAGCGUAUAUUAAAGUUGUUGCAGUUAAAAAGCUCGUAGUUGAAUUUCGGGAUCAGUACGUUGGUCAUGCCUUCGGUAUGUACUGGUGUCACUGAUUCCUCCCUUCUGAAGAACUGUCAUGUCAUUCACUUGGUGUGGCAGGGAAUCAUGACUGUUACUUUGAAAAAAUUAGAGUGUUUAAAGCAGGCUCGCGCUUGAAUACAUUAGCAUGGAAUAAUUGAAUAGGACGUUGACCCUAUUUUGUUGGUUUCUAGGAUUGACGUAAUGAUUAAAAGGGAUAGUUAGGGGCAUUAGUAUUCAAUUGUCAGAGGUGAAAUUCUUGGAUUUAUUGAAGACUAACUACUGCGAAAGCAUUUGCCAAGGAUGUUUUCAUUAAUCAAGAACGAAAGUUAGGGGAUCGAAGACGAUCAGAUACCGUCGUAGUCUUAACCAUAAACUAUGCCGACUAGGGAUCGGAUGAUGUUAAUUUUUUAAUGACUCAUUCGGCGCCUUACG
rnacentral:rRNA from 1 species